AGAAUCAACGCUGGCGGCGUGCCUAACACAUGCAAGUCGAACGAGAAAGUGGAGCAAUCCAUGAGUAAAGUGGCGCACGGGUGAGUAACACGUGACUAACCUACCUUUUAGUGGGGGAUAACCUAGGGAAACCUGGGCUAAUACCGCAUAAUACCUACGGGUCAAAGCAGCAAUGCGCUGAAAGAGGGGGUCGCGGUCGAUUAGUUAGUUGGCAGGGUAAUGGCCUACCAAGACUGUGAUCGAUAUCCGGCCUGAGAGGGCGCACGGACACACUGGAACUGAAACACGGUCCAGACUCCUACGGGAGGCAGCAGUGGGGAAUUUUGCGCAAUGGGGGAAACCCUGACGCAGCAACGCCGCGUGGAGGAUGAAGUCCCUUGGGACCGUAAACUCCUUUCGAUCGGGACGAUAAUGACGGUACCGGAAGAAGAAGCCCGGCUAACUCGCGCCAGCAGCCGC
rnacentral:rRNA from 1 species